rnacentral:rRNA from 1 species
UGGCGGACGGGUGAGUAACGCGUGGGUAACCUGCCUCAUACAGGGGGAUAACAGUUAGAAAUGACUGCUAAUACCGCAUAAGCGCACGGAAUCGCAUGGUUUUGUGUGAAAAACUUUGGUGGUAUGAGAUGGACCCGCGUCUGAUUAGCUGGUUGGUGAGGUAACGGCCCACCAAGGCGACGAUCAGUAGCCGGCCUGAGAGGGUGAACGGCCACAUUGGGACUGAGACACGGCCCAAACUCCUACGGAAGGCAGCAG